rnacentral:lncRNA from 1 species
CGCCAGGUAAGAUGUCCGUUUGGUCUUCUUCGUCUUCUGCCAUGACUGUGAGGUUCCCCUCAGCUGUGUGGAACUGGGAGUCCAUUAAACUUCUUUGAUUUAUAGACGACCCAGUUUCAGGUCAGUGGUUGUCAAAGGCGACAAUGCAUCGGUAUUGUCUGAAGAAAUUUUCAAAUACCUGCUCCUUUCUAGGAUCCAGACACAGGAUAAGAUACAUGUGGGGAAUGACCUUUCCGUGCCUGUGCGGUUUAUUGGGAUUAUGAUGAAAAAUGUCAUCUGGAAUAAACAAUGAAAUUCACCACAUCAUCACUAACUCCUACCUUGUGGAAGUGCUAAUAUUUACCUUAAGAAGAGAGUAAACUUUAUCAUUUAAUGAGCUUAAUGUUAUGUUUCAUAUAGUUAAUAUACCAAAAGAAGUCCCAUGCUUACUC